AACUCCAAACCCUUUGUGAACCUUACCGUCGUUGCCUCGGCGUGAGCCGCGCGUGCCCUGCAGCUACCCUGCGGCGGGCGACCCGGGGGAAGGCUACCCCGCAGUAGACCUACCCCGCGGCGCCCGCCCUUCAGGGGCAGCUGUGCGGCGCGCGCUAUAUGGCCCGCCGGAGGACCGUUCAAACUCUUGCUCCAAAAAAAGCUCGAAAGCUUCAAAAAAUUUCCGCUCCAAAGCCUGUUCGAAAAAAAGCUCCAAAGCUCGAAAAAGAAUCCUGCUCCAAAGCUCGCUCGAAAAAUCCUGCUCCAAAGCUCGAAAAUCCUGCUCCAAAGCUCGAAGAUCCUGCUCCAAAGCUCGCUCGAAGGAAAGCUCCAAAGCUCGAAAAAAAGUUCCAAAGCUUUUGCUCGAAAAAAGGAUUCUGCUCCAAAGCUUGCUCGAAAUAAAUGCUCCAAAGCUCGAAAUGAAGCUCCAAAAGCUUAUUUUUUUUUUUCUGAAUUACUUCAAUUAAAAUCAGUUAAAACUUUCAACAACGGAUCUCUUGGUUCUGGCAUCGAUGAAGAACGCAGCGAAAUGCGAUAAGUAAUGUGAAUUGCAGAAUUCAGUGAAUCAUCGAAUCUUUGAACGCACAUUGCGCCCAUUAGUAUUCUAGUGGGCAUGCCUAUUCGAGCGUCAUUUCGACCCUUAAGCCCUCGUUGCUUAGCGUUGGGAGCCUGCGUCCCCUAGGGGCGCAGUUCCUCAAAGUUAGUGGCGGAGCUAGGGCACACUCUAAGCGUAGUAAGCUAUUCUCGCUUCUGUGGUGUACCUGGCUUCCUGCCGUAAAACCCCUAUACAUCUAGUGGUUGACCUCGAAUUAGGUAGGAAUACCCGCUGAACUUAAGCAUAUCAAUAAGCGGAGGAAAAGAAACCAACAGGGAUUGCCCUAGUAACGGCGAGUGAAGCGGCAACAGCUCAAAUUUGAAAUCUGGCCCUCGCGGUCCGAGUUGUAAUUUGUAGAGGAUGCUUUGGGCGCGGCGCCUUCCAAGUUCCCUAGAACGGGACGCCUUAGAGGGUGAGAGCCCCGUACGGUUGGACGCCUAGCCUAUGUAUAGCUCCUUCGACGAGUCGAGUAGUUUGGGAAUGCUGCUCUAAAUGGGAGGUAAAUUUCUUCUAAAGCUAAAUACCGGCCAGAGACCGAUAGCGCACAAGUAGAGUGAUCGAAAGAUGAAAAGUACUUUGAAAAGAGGGUUAAAUAGCACGUGAAAUUGUUGAAAGGGAAGCGUUUGCGACCAGACCUUUUCCAGGCGGAUCAUCCGGCGUUCUCGCCGGUGCACUUCGCCUGGUUUAGGCCAGCAUCGGUUUUCCCAGGGGGAUAAAGGCGGUGGGAACGUAGCUCUUUCGGGAGUGUUAUAGCCCGCCGCGUAAUACCCUUGGGGGGACCGAGGACCGC
rnacentral:rRNA from 1 species